AGAACGAACGCUGGCGGCAGGCUUAACACAUGCAAGUCGAGCGCCCCGCAAGGGGAGCGGCAGACGGGUGAGUAACGCGUGGGAAUCUACCCUUGACUACGGAAUAACGCAGGGAAACUUGUGCUAAUACCGUAUGUGUCCUUCGGGAGAAAGAUUUAUCGGUCAAGGAUGAGCCCGCGUUGGAUUAGCUAGUUGGUGGGGUAAAGGCCUACCAAGGCGACGAUCCAUAGCUGGUCUGAGAGGAUGAUCAGCCACAUUGGGACUGAAACACGGCCCAAACUCCUACGGGAGGCAGCAGUGGGGAAUAUUGGACAAUGGGCCCCAAGCCUGAUCCAACCAUGCCGCGUGAGUGAUGAAGGCCCUAGGGUUGUAAAGCUCUUUCACCGGAGAAGAUAAUGACGGUAUCCGGAGAAGAAGCCCCGGCUAACUU
rnacentral:rRNA from 1 species